GGUCCACCCUCCCACCUCCGUGUCCCUCUUCCACUCCUGCGAGGCCACCACCGUCCAACUCCUCUGCGUGGUCAACGGCUUCUCCCCCCGCCCCCUGGCCUUGGAUUGGCUGGUGGAUGACCACGCCCUCAGCCCCUCCCCCCCGGCUCCACCCGUCCAACCCGAGGUCACCUCUGGGACCUUCCGGCUGGUCUCCAACCUCAACGUCUCCUUGGAAGACUGGAGGGAGAAGGUCUUCUCCUGCAAAGUCACCCACCCGGCUUCGG